rnacentral:rRNA from 1 species
UGGGGAAUUUUGGACAAUGGGCGCAAGCCUGAUCCAGCCAUGCCGCGUGCGGGAAGAAGGCCUUCGGGUUGUAAACCGCUUUUGUCAGGGAAGAAAUCUUCUGAGUUAAUACCUCGGGAGGAUGACGGUACCUGAAGAAUAAGCACCGGCUAACUACGUGCCAGCAGCCGCGGUAAUACGUAGGGUGCAAGCGUUAAUCGGAAUUACUGGGCGUAAAGCGUGCGCAGGCGGUUUUGUAAGACAGAGGUGAAAUCCCCGGGCUCAACCUGGGAACUGCCUUUGUGACUGCAAGGCUUGAGUGCGGCAGAGGGGGAUGGAAUUCCGCGUGUAGCAGUGAAAUGCGUAGAUAUGCGGAGGAACACCGAUGGCGAAGGCAAUCCCCUGGGCCUGCACUGACGCUCAUGCACGAAAGCGUGGGGAGCAAAACGGGAUUAGAUACCCUGGUAGUCCACGCCCUAAACGAUGUCAACUGGUUGUUGGGAAGGUUCCUUCUCAGUAACGUAGCUAACGCGUGAAGUUGGACCGCCUGGGGAGUACGGCCGCAAGGUUGAAACUCAAAGGAAUUGACGGGGUCAUAGCUGUUUCCU